CAACCAAAGAUAUGUCCCUCGAGUCAAUCUCACAGUCCACAACAAAACCCAGUCAUUUUCCCUUUCACCAAACGCACCGUUUCUUUGCAUUUAACUCAACCGUCCCUUUUCAUGAACAACACCGCCGUCUCAGACACUUACGGCGCUUCGCCGCCGGAUACGAAAUCCGAAAUCGACGGAGUUGGUGGGCCCACAAUCAAGAUCAGUGUUUCGUACGGUUCAUCUCUUCACGAGAUCCAUCUCCCAGCCCAAUCCACUUUCGGAGAUUUAAAAAAAUUGCUUGUACCUAAAACUGGUUUAGAGCCUGAACAACAAAGACUUUUCUUCAGAGGAAUAGAAAAGGAUGAUAAGGAACAACUGCAUCAGGAAGGUGUAAAGGGUAAGUCGAAGAUUUUGCUUAUGGAGCGUGCUGCUAGCAAAGAGAAGAAACUUGAGGAAACUAGAAAACUCAAUGAGAUGUCUAAAGCUACUGAAGCUAUUAAUGGGGUUAGAGCCGAGGUGGACAAGCUCUCUGAUAGGGUGGCUGCCUUGGAAGCGGCUAUCAAUGCAGGGAAAAAAGCUUCUGAGAAAGAAUUUCUUUUGUUGACUGAGUUGCUUAUGAGUCAAUUGCUGAAACUAGAUGGAAUUGAGGCCGAAGGUGAAGCAAAGUUGCAGAGAAAAGCUGAGGUGCGUCGUGUGCAGGGCCUCGUGGAUAUGGUAGAUUCUCUAAAGGCUAGAAACUCCAACCCUUAUAGCCAAAGUGGCAAUCCUGCCACAGGAACAACCAAUUGGGAAACCUUUGAUACCGGAAUUGAAGGCUCGAAUGACGACCCAUCCACAACAUCAUCUUCUACAAAAGUAUCUGAAGAUUGGGAGCGGUUUGAUUAGCUUAAAAUUUCUGUGAAAUAUCAAAAUUAUAAAGAUUGUACAAUACCAUGUUGGCCUUCAUCCUUUGUCCAAGUAACAUAUGGUGAUACUUCAAUUUCAUCUGCUUUUGAUGAGGAUCCAUGCUUAGUUGGGUCAUACUUUUCUCCAUCACCCCAAAGUGCAUAAGCUUCCUCGCCGUGGACAGCAUCAUCACCAGUCUCGAGCUGGUCGUUCGACAUCCUCAACGGUAUGAACAAUUGUAUGGUGAGAAGAAUUAGUGUGGUGGAGACUAAGUUCCAUCCAGUGAUGAAAAGUGCUGCCACUAAUUGCUUCAAGAACUGAAUGCCGCCACCGCCCCCAUAGAAGGCACCCCUUGAGUUAGUCACCGGCAAUAUGAGUCUGCAAAGAUCUGGUUCUGCUAAGAGACCUGUGAGGAGGCCUCCUAAAAGGCCGGCCACAGCAUGUGUGUGAAACACUCCAAGGGUGUCAUCUACCUGUGUUAUUGUAUAUAGAUAAUUCAUAUAAUGCUAAGAAAACAUACAUAAGAUCAUAGUUGUAUGAGAAAUGAUAUUUGAACAACCAUUUUUUACAA